CCUUCCGCUCCCAACGGAGACUUCGCCGGGACUCGGCUUCUAAUGUUUAAUUAAAAAAAAGAAGUGUGAAGGGAAGGCUCGAGGGGCCCGAGAAAUGUGCCAGCCUUUUCUUUUGUUUUAACUGGGACGGGACGAGAUGCGCUUUGGCGGGAAUCGUGGCCGCCUUGAGGCAAAAGUCUGCUCGUGGGAACCGCCUCCAAGAUUACAGUUUGGCACUAGACUUGUUCCUUGAUAUCUCACCUCCUUUGCUGUCUUCAGGAUCCGUUUAAUUCCAUUAAUGCUUGUCCAAGACGUGUUUAUAUAUAUGUAUCUGUAUCUGAUGGCUAGGCUGGGAAUAAAAGCUACCCUGUCCACAUAGCAGCUGUGUUCCCACAAAAGACAGUGGAGCAAAACAAAUCCAUCAUUUUAGCCUACGCUGACACCGGGCAGUUGAUGGUUCAGUCGAGCUGCAGAAAACCGGAUUUUUUCUGCAGACUGUAGUUAAACGCACGUGUCCUGGGAACACAGAAGAAAGUUUGCAGCUGCAAACAUUGAUGCUGUUCUAAGAACAGGAUUGGAUUUCAGAGUUAUUACAAGGAAGGUGAUUAAAUGCAAAAUGGAUUUAGAAGAAUUGGAAAACACAAAGAAGACGAGAAGCCAACAAUUGGGAAGUAGGAUUACAUGGAUUCAGAGCAGAAGUACAAACAGAACGCAAACAAACCUUGAGAUUCCAACUAUGAAGAAGGAAGCAUGACGUGGCGCAGAGAGAACAAAUGGGAUCUGACAUCUGACCCACCCAGGAAAAAGUCUGCGGGUGAAGCAGCCAACUGCAGAAUCAAAGUCACAUCUGGAAGCAUUUUUUGGUGUGAACUAUGGAGCAGAUUUGUACAAAGAGCAAGAUAGAAGCUCCUCCAUACUGGGAAAUUCUACUGGAUUAUUGUGUUGCAGAUGGCCCCACUUGGCUGAGAGCCUCCUGUGGAACUUAAGUCAUAUAAUUGUUGAUCUAACUAGAAGUAAUUAUGAAAACUUGAAAGUAAAAGAGAAAGGAGGGAGUAGGCAGUUUAGUUUUGAGGCCUCGUGAUGGUAAAUCAGGGAAAAUCUGUCUUUUUAUGACAUAAAACAGCCUAUUUGAAUCAAGAUGGAUUGGAAAGAAGUGAACAUGUAGUUUCUAGGAAAGGUAAAACAAAACAAAUCCAAAAUCUUACAAAUGUACUAAACAGAUAAACAAAUGCUGUAUUUUGUAGGGUUACAAACAGCUUGUCUGACCAGGAUUUCUAGUAGUUUUCUUAGAUAAAUCUUUGGUGCCUGCUAAAGCAAGUGACUCUUUUUAAACUUCGUACAGGGCAUUGGUUUUCUAGCUCUGUUUUUGGCAGAGGGAUACUUAAGGAGAGCCAGAAGUAGUGAAGUAAUUUUCUGGCAAGAUGAAACUUUUCUUGCAACAGCAUUUGGGUUAAGUUUCGAGAUUCAUUCAGAUGCUCCUUAUGUAUCAGUGUUUCAUUAGCACAUUGUUAAUCAUUAAGGAACAGACCAAAGGAGAGGCAGGUAGACUACAUGAUUGUGGGGGUUCAGAAAUGUUCUUACCAGCUGGAUGGAAUGCCAGGUGCAAGUAGUAUAUAAGCUGUAGCAAUCUACAUAAUACAUUCUGACAUCAUGGACCUAAAAUGCUAAAUUUCUAACAUCUCAACCCUUUUAGAUAAUUCCCUCCCAUAGCUGGUAGAACUGUGACAGAUGAAUAGGAAAUAGGCCUGGGAUAUUGGAAUAGAGAAGUUAGAAUAGCAGAGGGUCACCAUAAGCGGUUGUCAUCAUUAUUUGCAAGUGAUUGAUCAGGUUUACUUUGACAGUUAUAGACAGAUCAUUGGCGAGAUAAUCUUACCAACUGCUGAUUAUUUGGAUUCUUUUUGGUUUGCAGAUCUUGAAGACAUGGACAGGAUGCGAUGACUGAUCAACUGUUUGCCCUUUCUGGCUGAUUAAAUUUGCCAGAUUAGACUGAAUUCAUGAUUAAGAGGUUGGGUGAUCAAAACAUCCUUGAGAGUUGGAAUUGUCUACUUAAAAAUGUUCAACUGCUGCCUAAUUGAAGGAAUAAAACCUUCCCUGAACACAUUAUAGUUUUAUAGCUUCCACUGCCUUAAGAAAGUUCAAAACGUUCUUAAAGAUCUGUCUCAUCCUGGGCACCCUUUUUUGAACUAUUACUAUCUGGCAGACGGUUCAGGAUAAUAAAAACAAGGACAAACAGGCUGAAAAACAGC